rnacentral:rRNA from 1 species
GAUGAACGCUGGCGGCGUGCCUAAUACAUGCAAGUCGAGCGAACGGACGAGAAGCUUGCUUCUCUGAUGUUAGCGGCGGACGGGUGAGUAACACGUGGAUAACCUACCUAUAAGACUGGGGUAACUUCGGGAAACCGGAGCUAAUACCGGCUAAUAUUUUGAACAGCAUGGUUCAAAAGUGACAGACGGUCUUGCUGUCACUUAUAGAUGGAUCCGCGCUGCAUUAGCUAGUUGGUAAGGUAACGGCUUACCCAGGCAACGAUGCAUAGCCGACCUGAGAGGGUGAUCGGCCACACUGGAACUGAGACACGGUCCAGACUCCUACGGGAGGCAGCAGUAGGGAAUCUUGCGCAAUGGGCGAAAGCCUGACGGAGCAACGCCGCGUGAGUGAUGAAGGUCUUCGGAUCGUAAAACUCUGUUAUUAGGGAAGAACAUAUGUGUAAGUAACUGUGCACAUCUUGACGGUACCUAAUCAGAAAGCCACGGCUAACUACGUG